rnacentral:misc_RNA from 1 species
UUUCCGUAGGUGAACCUGCGGAAGGAUCAUUAAAGAGAAUAUGCCCUUCGGGGUAGAUCUCCCACCCUUUGUUUAUCUUACCUUUGUUGCUUUGGCAGGCCCGUCUUCGGACCACCGGCUUCGGCUGGUCAGUGCUUGCCAGAGGACCCAAAACUCUUAUUAUUAAUGUCGUCUGAGUACUAUAUAAUAGUUAAAACUUUCAACAACGGAUCUCUUGGUUCUG